AUUGAACGCUGGCGGCAUGCCUUACACAUGCAAGUCGAACGGCAGCACGGGGGCAACCCUGGUGGCGAGUGGCGAACGGGUGAGUAAUAUAUCGGAACGUGCCCUAGAGUGGGGGAUAACGUAGCGAAAGUUACGCUAAUACCGCAUACGAUCUAUGGAUGAAAGUGGGGGAUUCGCAAGAACCUCAUGCUCCUGGAGCGGCCGAUAUCUGAUUAGCAGUUGGUAGGGUAAAAGCCUACCAAGGCAUCGAUCAGUAGCUGGUCUGAGAGGACGACCAGCCACACUGGGACUGAGACACGGCCCAGACUCCUACGGGAGGCAGCAGUGGGGAAUUUUGGGCAAUGGGCAAAGCCUGACCCAGCAACGCCGCGUGAGGGAGGAAAUCCUUCGGGAU
rnacentral:rRNA from 1 species